CGGGGUGUAGCGCAGCCCGGUAGCGCGCCUCGUUCGGGACGAGGAGGUCGUGGGUUCAAAUCCCGCCACCCCGA
rnacentral:tRNA from 2 species